rnacentral:tmRNA from 1 species
GGGGACGUUCCGGUUUCGACGGGGAUAUUGAAGCAUGGGAAGCGAGCCGCAGAGGGAACUGCGUUAAAAUCCCAAAUUUUAAAUUUAAACGCUAACAAUAAUUUAGCUUACGCUGCCUAAAUAGGCGGCCGUUCUUACCGGGAGGACCACGGCUCGGAUAAGAGCGUCACACAGUGGUGAACGUGACGCGGUUAAGCUUUGCGCCGCGCAUGACAAAUGAAGCUACUAAAACCGCAAGGUUGUCUUUCACCGUGCGGCAGAGGGAAUGUUAAAAGACAGACUGCGCUCGGAGAUGCUCAUGUGAAUGUAUUUUCGGACAGGGGUUCAACCCCCCUCGU